AUGCUUGGGAAUCUGGCUUAUGGAGGGGGAUAACUGUGGGAAACUGCAGCUAAUACCGCGUAUUCUCUGAGGAGGAAAGGGUGGGACCUUAGGGCCACCUGCCAUAAGAUGAGCCCAAGUGGGAUUAGGUAGUUGGUGGGGUAAAGGCCUACCAAGCCUGCGAUCUCUAGCUGGUCUGAGAGGAUGACCAGCCACACUGGAACUGAGACACGGUCCAGACUCCUACGGGAGGCAGCAGUGGGGAAUAUUGCGCAAUGGGGGGAACCCUGACGCAGCCAUGCCGCGUGAAUGAAGAAGGCCUUCGGGUUGUAAAGUUCUUUCGGUAAUGAGGAAGGGAUGUUAUUAAAUAGAUAGCAUCAUUGACGUUAAUUACAGAAGAAGCACCGGCUAACUCCGUGCCAGCAGCCGCGGUAAUACGGAGGGUGCGAGCGUUAAUCGGAAUAACUGGGCGUAAAGGGCACGCAGGCGGACUUUUAAGUGAGAUGUGAAAUCCCCGAGCUUAACUUGGGAACUGCAUUUCAGACUGGGA
rnacentral:rRNA from 1 species